CCCAGGUUUCUCCGACCGACACCGAGCACCUCCGGGUCCCCAUUCCUCUCCCAUUCCCAGACACCGAUCCUGCUCCUUCCUUGUUUGUCUAUGGGCGAAUCUCUCCGGCGACGGCGACCUCUCUUCCCCUGCGCGUCCAUCUUCCGACGUUGCCACCCCGUCGUCCAUCGCUACAAGAUCGACGACCGCCCCUUCAUCCUCACCGGUCUCUGCAGAUCUACGCCGGCGGGCCGCCUUACCGACGGUUCUUCCUAGCCACGCUGAAGCCUCGAUCCUAGAGGGUAGAGGCAUUCCAUUUCCUUCAGUUCAGUGAUUGAGAAUGGAAAAUGGAUUUCCUGGUGAAGUUCUGAAGGCUGUUUUCCCUCUACUGGAUGGUAAAGACUUAGUCUUUUGCAUGCUUGUAUGCCGCCAAUGGUGCGAAAUUGCAAAGGAUGAUUACUUCUGGAAAUGCAUCUGCUCACGGAAAUGGCCUUCCAUCUGCAAACAGCCUCCUUCUGACACAAACUUCCAAAAGCUCUAUUUAACGUUCUCCAAGCCACGGAAGACAGUGCACCUUCCUGUACCUAAGCUCACUUUUGAGGAUCUGGUGUUUUACAUUGACAUGUGGCUUGAGGGAUCACUAAUCUUCUCUCAAGCAGUUUCAGGCUGCAUUCUUCGAGCAGGUUUACAGAACACACCUGGCGGCAUACCAGAUGUACUUGUUGCACAUCUGAAUGCCGCAGACUGCAUUUUGAUGAUGGAAGUCAAACCCAAGCUGACAGUCCCUAUGGGGCCAGCCAUCACCGUGUCUGUUCUUGCCCACCGCAAGGACACCAACAAGAUGACUUGCAUAAUCAACACGUCGAGUUUUGAUUACAUUGACAGCAAUGCAGCACGGGCGUUGGCAUAUGAAUAUCUCAGGUUUUCGCCCAGACACCCUUUCAUAUCAGACAUCCGGGCCUGGAUGUCCUUGCUUUUCCUGUAUAAAGGAACAAACUCUAUAGAGGUAUUUGGUAUUGAACUAGAUUUUUGUGAUGCGGCAAGGUCCGAGCCUGAGAUCUUGUGGCUCUUAGACAUGCUUGAUUGGAAAUAGAAGCUACUCUUUAGUUGUGAUUGAGCCUUUGAGGCAUGUAAAGAAUGUUCAUGAUAUGUUGAUCAUCUACUGUUG
rnacentral:rRNA from 1 species